UACGAAGGGGGCUAGCGUUGCUCGGAAUUACUGGGCGUAAAGCGCACGUAGGCGGCUUGUUAAGUCAGGGGUGAAAUCCUGGAGCUCAACUCCAGAACUGCCUUUGAUACUGGCGAGCUUGAGUUCGGGAGAGGUGAGUGGAACUGCGAGUGUAGGAGUGAAAUUCGUAGAUAUUCGCAAGAACACCAGUGGCGAAGGCGGCUCACUGGCCCGAUACUGAACGCUGAGGUGCGGAAAGCGUGGGGAGCAAACGG
rnacentral:rRNA from 1 species